rnacentral:rRNA from 1 species
AUGCUCAUACACAGGAGGAUGGAUGCCCUGGUCUGGUACGACCAGGAUGGUAUCGGUGCUUCGGCCAACUCCAUCAAUCUGCUUAGUAAAUGCCCACUCCUAAAUCCGUUUGAAGUUUUGGUUAUGAUCGCCAUGCUCUUCUCAAUUUUCAAAACUUUAAGAGUUCAAAGUACACAAGAACAUAAGUCCCCUAUGCUUUGCGUCAGAUAUCUGAUAUUUGUGAGGGGAACUUCAAUUUUCUUCAGUUCAACUUUUGAAUGUGUUUCAGUUCGUCUACUUCCCAGUCGUCCUAUGUCAAUCAAAAAAAGCAGCAGUUUAGCACGAAAAAUAGAGCCUCUUCUCUUCCCAGUACACAACACAGAAGGUAUUUGUCUCCAACUUACAUUAAGAGUUCAAAGUACACAAAGGAAAAAGGUUCAAUUUUCAAAACUUUAA